GGCCCCGUAGCUCAGUUGGAUAGAGCGGCGGAUUCCUAAUCCGCAGGCCACAGGUUCGAUUCCUGUCGGGGUCA
rnacentral:tRNA from 1 species